rnacentral:rRNA from 1 species
UACGGAGGAUGCAAGCGUUAUCCGGAUUUAUUGGGUUUAAAGGGUGCGCAGGUUGUUUGAUAAGUCAGUGGUGAAAGUCUGUCGCUUAACGGUAGGAUUGCCAUUGAUACUGUUGGACUUGAAUAUGGAUGAGGUAGGCGGAAUGUGUAGUGUAGCGGUGAAAUGCGUAGAUAUUACACAGAACACCGAUUGCGAAGGCAGCUUACUAAUCCAUCAUUGACGCUGAGGCACGAAAGCGUGGGGAGCAAACAGGA